rnacentral:rRNA from 1 species
UCUGACGGAGCAACGCCGCGUGAACGAUGAAGGUCUUCGGAUCGUAAAGUUCUGUUGUUAGGGAAGAACAAGUACCGUGCGAAUAGAGCGGUACCUUGACGGUACCUAACGAGGAAGCCCCGGCUAACUACGUGCCAGCAGCCGCGGUAAUACGUAGGGGGCAAGCGUUGUCCGGAAUUAUUGGGCGUAAAGCGCGCGCAGGCGGUUCCUUAAGUCUGAUGUGAAAGCCCACGGCUCAACCGUGGAGGGUCAUUGGAAACUGGGGAACUUGAGGACAGAAGAGGAGAGUGGAAUUCCACGUGUAGCGGUGAAAUGCGUAGAUAUGUGGAGGAACACCAGUGGCGAAGGCGACUCUCUGGUCUGUUUCUGACGCUGAGGUGCGAAAGCGUGGGUAGCAAACAGGAUUAGAUACCCUGGUAGUCCACGCCGUAAACGAUGAGUGCUAGGUGUUAGGGGGCUUCCACCCCUUAGUGCUGAAGUUAACGCAUUAAGCACUCCGCCUGGG